ACUCACUGAGCCACCCAGGCAUCCUGAAAUGGAAAAUUUUAGACUGAAGGAUAAACAAGUCGUGAGGAAACACCUGGAGAGCUCUGUCCAGCUGCCAUGAGAACAUGCCUGAGUGAGCCUGCUAGAGGCUGAAAGAUCAUGUGGAACAGAGACAAAACCCUACCAGAUGAGGUCAUCAUAGAUCAGCCAAUCCCCAGAUGACCUGGCAACUGAAUGCAGAUGCAUGGAUGUGCUCAGUGAACAUCAGAAAAACUACAGGCGAGCCUAUAGCUUAAAUUUAUGAUCUGUAAAAUUGUUAGCUAAAUAAAUGUUCAUGGUUUUAGAUCACUGA